UACGUAGGGGGCAAGCGUUGUCCGGAAUCAUUGGGCGUAAAGCGCGUGUAGGCGGCCCGGUAAGUCCGCUGUGAAAGUCGGGGGCUCAACCCUCGAAUGCCGGUGGAUACUGUCGGGCUAGAGUGCGGGAGAGGCGAGUGGAAUUCCUGGUGUAGCGGUGAGAUGCGUAGAGAUCAGGAGGAACACCCAUGGCGAAGGCAGCUCUCUGGUCGACCUCUGAUGCUGAGACGCGAAAGCGUGGGGAGCGAACGGG
rnacentral:rRNA from 1 species